CGACAAAUAGUUAAGACGAAUGUGUGGUGUUACGAGAGCAGAUAGAGUAGGAAAUGAGUAUGUAAGGGGAAGUUUGAAAGUGGCACCGGUUCCGGAAUGAGAGUCAUGACGUGGUGAGGAAGGUGUUGAGUAUGUAUGUGGAUGGAUAUAUCGGAAGAGGACGACCAAGGAAACGAUGGAUGGAUUGUGUGAAAGACGGUAUGGCUGCAAAGAGUGCUUCUUGUGAGAUGACGUCAGAUCGAAAGUUAUGGAAGGAGAAGAUCCCAAAGAUGAUGAUAAUGAUACCUAAAGUCACUUUUGUGGUUUUUGGACAUUGGAAGAUGCGAAAACGAAAUAAUAACAACAAACAACGGGCUUAACGAAAACGAAAAACUUAACAAAACAAUAACAAAAUUCACAAUCAACAAAAACUUAAAAACUGAAAACAAACACAAACCGCAUACAAGGCAGAUUCACGUCGUUCUGACGUUUGACGAUUGCGAUUUGCAAUACGAUCACAAGAUGGACGUUCCGACUCAUCGAUUUGAUUUCGAUGCAACAGUGUCAAUCUCUAUUGACAAAAGUUCCGUUCCAUGCAUCUGACAUUGGUAUGACAUAAUUUCAUCUUUGUUAAAAUUGACAUUUUUUUAAUACAUAACAGUUAAUAACAUAAAUAAUAUCUGUUCUGUUAUUAAUUAUUUAAUUAGUCUUUUGGUCAGGAGAAAAUAAUUAGUUUCGUUUGGUUCCCCUAUUGUUUUCUUGUGAGAAAAUUGCGUAGCAAGGAGUAUGAGAACUGUCACGCAUAUCGCUUUACGGAGUAUCAACAUUUAAUAACAUUACAUAUUGGCUUGUUUUGUUAUUGUUUAAGAACGACUUUAAAAAAUGUAAAAACGCUCCAAAUUAUAUUUUUAUUUGUGGUGUUAUAACACCGUGCGGUGCAAGGAAAACUACCAAUAAAUCUGUUUUAACAAUUCAUAGAUUGCAGAUGACAAUUUAAAAUAGUGAAUUGCUUUGCAGUAGAUAGCGUAUGAUGCCACAAUAAUAUGCUACCGUUUACGAAUGCAAGUAAAUAUUUAUUUUUACCUAAUAUUGAACUUACAGACAAAAGAAGAGAUACCAUGAUCUGCUCCACAACCAAACUAUUUGGUUGUUACUCGAAAAGCGUUGGCUACAGAAGUGGCUUGAUGUCAUUGGUACUGAAUAUAAUACUGUGUGCUUAUUCAUUAAACUUGAGGCUGCAUGAUGAUGCAGUACCAUUGUCCACCUUGUAUUAAGCAUAAAAAAUCCUCAUGGCAUCUCGGCCUGAAAUGAAAAUUGUCCAAGAAUAACAGGCAUGAUAACUCAACUAAGCUUACGAGUGAAACACCUGGAUGAGUUUAUAAAGAGACUGAACCCGAAACCGAUUACUUCUGUGAAAACAAUGCCAAAUAAAUAUGAAUUAUUGCUGCCUCAUCCGCCAUCUUUAUUUAAUAAGAUCCAGGAAGUAUGUGGUGCCCAGAGAAACAAGUAAAGUAUUGAAUGAGAAAAUUAGACGCCAAGUCAAAACAUCUUAAAUAUGCAAGAUGUUAUUACUAUUAUGAAGAACAAAGCUACAUGAAAAAACGGUUUGCAAGGCUUUCCUUUCUAAACCAAGUACCUAUUCUGAGAUAAUUAAAAAGUUGAACUACGC